rnacentral:lncRNA from 1 species
UUUAGCUUAGUAAAUAUAAAGCCUUAAGUAUGUAGUAAUUGCAAACUCUAUCCAAUAACACUUUACAAAAUUAAUUAUUUAACUUAUAAAAUAAACUUACAAAAGUAACAAAUUAAUAUAUGUUGUCAAAUAACUCAAAUAUGAAGCCCGGAACUCAUAGAUAAUUACUCAGUCCAAUUCAAGAAUUUUUAAUUUAAUUUAUUAAACAAAUAAAUUUUUAACAAAAUGUGAAACUGACGCACAUAAUAAUUAAGGAUAACUUGAUGCGACCGAGUCUCAAAUAUCGAGCUUGGAAGGCUAUAUAUAAUUAUUAAGUACAAUUAAAAAAAAAUUUAAUCAAACAAAUUUCUAAAAAAUAUUUGAAAUGACACGCAUAAUAAUUAAGUAUAGCUUGGCUACCGGGACUCAAAUAUUGAGCCUCGAAGGGCAUACGUAAUUAUUUAGUCCAAUUCAAGAAUUUUUAAUUUAAUUUAUUAAACGAAUAAAUUUCUAAAAAUGUAGAAUAUGACACACAUAAUAAUUGAGGAUAACUUGGUGCGACCGGACCUCAAUAUCGAGCUUGGAAGGCCACACAUAAUUAUUUAGUCCAAUUCAAGAAUUUGUAAUUUAAUUUAUUAAACAAAUAAAUUUUUUAAAAAUAUUGAAAAUGACACACAUAAUAAUUAUGUAUAGUUUGGUGAUACCGUGCCUCAAACAUCGAGCCUCGAAGAGCAUACGUAAUUGUUUAGUCCAAUUCAAGAAUUUUUAAUUUAAUUUAUUAAAAAAUAAAUUUCUAAAAAAUGUUGAAAUGACACAUAAUAAUUAAGUAUAGCUUGGUGUUACCGGGCCUCAAAUAUCGAGCCUCGAAGGGCAUAUGUAAUUAUUUAGUCCAAUUCAAAAACUUUUAAUUUAAUUUAUUAAACAAACAAAUUUCUAAAAAUAUUGAAAAUGACACAUAUAAUAAUUAAGGAUAGUUUAAUGCGACUGAGCCUCAAAUAUUGAGCUUGGAAGGCCAUACAUAAUUAGGCCGGCUUAACCAAAAAGCUACUAAAGCAAGGGCUUGGGCCCCCAUUUUUUGUAUAAACUUUAUAUUAUAUAUUAUUUAAAAAAAUAAAAAUGACAUAUAAUAAUUAAGGAUAGCUUAAUGCGACUGAGCCUCAAAUAUUGAGCUCUGAAGGCCAUACAUAAUUAGGCCGGCUUAACCAUAAAGCUACUAAAGCAAGGGCUUGGGCCCCCAUUUUUUGUAUAAACUUUAUAUUAUAUAUUAUUUAAAAAAAUCACAUACUGCCGUUGGAGAUCAAGGCUCUAUUUCGCCAUGAAUUUUGCCGAACUAAAUUUGGGAUUUAUUUUUAUUUGGCCAUAAAUUUUGCCCAUACUUUAGCAAAAUCACAAAUCACAAAUCCUAAAAUCACCCCAAUUGCUGAUUUUGGGCCAAAAUCUUCAAAUUUGGAAAUUAUAUACAUAUUUUUCAAAAUAAAGUUGAAAAAUAUUUUUUGAAAUAUAUGUCAGAAUACAUUUUCAUCUUCAAAUCAAAUUUUACCCUAAUUAAAAAAUUUUAAAAUAAAUUUGAAAUCUACAGCCAAAUGCUUGUUGUAUUUGUGGAAGAAAGUACGUCCAAAUCAUCGGUCCGGUACUAGAUGUAGCCUUUCCCCCGGGCAAGAUGCCGAAUAUUU